UUCUGGAAUCCUCCAAUUCUCUUUUUGUGGAUGAGACUCCACAAGGACCUCGACAAGCCCUCUAGUCCAAGUCUCCCCCUCCUUCCCCUCCACUGUCCAGCAGGAAGGGUCAUCUUGACUGGGAGUGAAUCUUUUAACAACAUGAAAGGCAGAGCAGAUGGAGGCAUAUUCAAGAUUUCUGCAAUCGUAGUGUAUGGAUCUAGAGUAUAGAUGUGUGCUACAAACUUAAAGCAAACUACAAUGAGUUUGAUUGAGAUCGUUGGCCUAAAUGACUGAAGCCUCAUGGGAGAAUCCCUAGAAUGCUAAGAAGUCACCAAGAAUUGAACUGAACUACUAGAACAUAAUUUCUGAGGAUGACAAGUUGUUUCUUGGAAAACUCAAAGUGAAAUUAAACUUCAUGUUAGCCAAGUGAAAGGAACCUUAGAAUUCUUUUGUGCCUACUGAUAAUACUAGGAAAUAGAUUUUUUUGGUUAUGUACCUUGAAAUUUUUCUUUUAAUCUUAACAAGAGACCUAUGACUUUGUAAAAGCUAACCUUCAUGACAGAAUUCAACCUUGGAUACAACAUCUGGAGGUCCAUGUCUGACAUCCACGCAUGCCUGCUCAUUCUGAAAUCUCAGUUUAUGAAAGCUCUUCUAAUAAUUAGGACAGUCGGUUUCUCGGAAUGUGUCUUCUGUGUUUGAGCUCUCUGGAGAUCCAGUUAACCAAUCUCAAUCAAUCCUUCC